rnacentral:tRNA from 1 species
CGGGGUGUAGCUCAGUUGGCUAGAGCGUUGCGUUCGGGACGCAGAGGCCGCCGGUUCAAGUCCGGCCACCCCGACCA